CGACAGUAAAGCGUAUGUCUCAUCUAAUCUGCCUGCCGCUGCUCGUCUCACCCUCGCUGGCUGCAGAGCUCCCUCCCCACAAGCAGAAAACAGGCAGAGUGGUCAGAUGCCACCCCAGCGGUGACAAGGAUCCUGCUUCAGCAAUUGUCUUUGGGCAUCCAGGGAAUGUAUCUUGGUGACCUAAGGAUCUAGCAUUAGUUGCAGGCGCCGCCUAUGCCCAUCCACAGGAACCUGCCGUGGGAGAUGAGCGGCCCGAUGCCCAUGCAGUAG